GGCCCAACUCCUACGGGAGGCAGCAGUAGGGAAUCUUGCACAAUGGGGGAAACCCUGAUGCAGCGAUGCCGCGUGAGUGAAGAAGGCCUUUGGGUUGUAAAGCUCUUUCGUCGGGGAAGAAAAUGACUGUACCCGAAUAAGAAGGUCCGGCUAACUUCGUGCCAGCAGCCGCGGUAAUACGAAGGGACCUAGCGUAGUUCGGAAUUACUGGGCUUAAAGAGUUCGUAGGUGGUUAAAAAAGUUGGUGGUGAAAUCCCAGAGCUUAACUCUGGAACUGCCAUCAAAACUUUUUAGCUAGAGUAUGAUAGAGGAAAGCAGAAUUUCUAGUGUAGAGGUGAAAUUCGUAGAUAUUAGAAAGAAUACCAAUUGCGAAGGCAGCUUUCUGGAUCAUUACUGACACUGAGGAACGAAAGCAUGGGUAGCGAAGAGGAUUAGAUACCCUCGUAGUCCAUGCCGUAAACGAUGUGUGUUAGACGUUGGAAAUUUAUUUUCUGUGUCGCAGCGAAAGCAAUAAACACACCGCCUGGGGAGUACGACCGCAAGGUUAAAACUCAAAUGAAUUGACGGGGACCCGCACAAGUAGUGGAGCAUGUGGUUUAAUUCGAAGAUACGCGCAGAACCUUACCAACACUUGACAUGUUCGUCGCGACUUUAAGAGAUUAAAGUUUUCGGUUCGGCCGGACGAAACACAGGUGCUGCAUGGCUGUCGUCAGCUCGUGUCGUGAGAUGUUGGGUUAAGUCCCGCAACGAGCGCAACCCUCACUUUUAGUUGCCAUCAUUUAGUUGGGCACUCUGAAAGAACUGCCAGUGAUAAGCUGGAGGAAGGUGGGGAUGACGUCAAGUCCUCAUGGCCCUUACGUGUUGGGCUACACACGUGCUACAAUGGCAUUUACAAUAGGAAGCAAGACGGCGACGUUAAGCAAAUCCUAAAAAAAUGCCUCAGUUCGGAUUGUACUCUGCAACUCGAGUACAUGAAGCUGGAAUUACUAGUAAUCGCGGAUCAGCGCGCCGCGGUGAAUACGUUCCCGGGUCUUGUACACACCGCCCGUCACACCAUGGGAGUUGGUUCUACCUUAAGGCAAAGUUUAAUACCUUUGACCACGGUAUAGUCAGCGACUGGGGUGAAGUCGUAACAAGGUAGCCGUAGGGGAACCUGCGGCUG
rnacentral:rRNA from 1 species